CUCUGUUUUCUUCAUUCAACACGAUGUCUGACGAGGACCAUGACUUUUCGCACCAGGGAGGCGGCGACAACGCGUCAAAGACGUAUCCCUUGCCCGCUGGCGCCCUGAAGAAGGGUGGCUACGUGUGCAUCAACGGCCGUCCGUGCAAGGUGAUCGACCUGUCCGUGUCGAAGACCGGCAAGCACGGUCACGCUAAGGUGAGCAUUGUUGCGACCGACAUUUUCACUGGAAACCGCCUUGAGGAUCAGGCCCCGUCCACGCACAAUGUAGAGGUGCCGUUUGUGAAGACCUUCACAUACAGCGUGUUGGAUAUCCAGCCCAACGAAGAUCCCUCUCUUCCAUCUCAUUUGUCGCUGAUGGACGAUGAGGGCGAGAGCCGUGAGGAUCUCGAUAUGCCCCCGGACGUGGCCCUGGCAACUCAAAUCAAGGAGCAGUUCGACUCCGGCAAGGAGGUGCUAGUUGUGGUUGUGUCUGCAAUGGGCACUGAGCAGGUGCUGCAGACGAAGAAUGCUGCGGAGAAGUAGACUUUUGAUGGCACUGUUUUUCUUUACUUUUAUUUCUCUCAAAACAUCAG
rnacentral:misc_RNA from 1 species